rnacentral:siRNA from 1 species
GUGCAUUGUUCAUACUCCACUGCC